GUCCACGCCGUAAACGAUGGAUACUAGCUGUUGGUGGCAACAUCAGUGGCUAAGCGAAAGUGAUAAGUAUCCCACCUGGGGAGUACGUUCGCAAGAAUGAAACUCAAAGGAAUUGACGGGGGCCCGCACAAGCGGUGGAGCAUGUGGUUUAAUUCGAUGAUACGCGAGGAACCUUACCAAGGCUUAAAUGUAGUUUGACCGGAUUGGAAACAGUCUUUUCGCAAGACAAAUUACAAGGUGCUGCAUGGUUGUCGU
rnacentral:rRNA from 1 species